rnacentral:misc_RNA from 1 species
GAUGAAGAACGUAGCGAAAUGCGAUAAGUAAUGUGAAUUGCAGAAUUCAGUGAAUCAUCGAAUCUUUGAACGCACAUUGCGCCCGCCAGUAUUCUGGCGGGCAUGCCUGUUCGAGCGUCAUUUCAACCAUCAAGCCCCCGGGCUUGUGUUGGGGACCUGCGGCUGCCGCAGGCCCUGAAGAGCAGUGGCGGGCUCGCUGUCACACCGAGCGUAGUAGCAUACAUCUCGCUCUGGGCGUGCUGCGGGUUCCGGCCGUUAAACUACCCUUUUAACCCAAGGUUGACCUCGGAUCAGGUAGGAAGACCCGCUGAACUUAAGCAUAUCAAUAAGCGGAGGA